CAACAGGGAUUGCCUUAGUAACGGCGAGUGAAGCGGCAAUAGCUCAAAUUUGAAAUCUGGCUCUUUUAGAGUCCGAGUUGUAAUUUGUAGAGGGUGCUUUGGUGUUGAAGGCGGUCCAAGUUCCUUGGAACAGGACGUCACAGAGGGUGAGAAUCCCGUACGUGGUCGCCAAUCUUCACCAUGUAAAGCCCCUUCGACGAGUCGAGUUGUUUGGGAAUGCAGCUCUAAAUGGGAGGUAAAUUUCUUCUAAAGCUAAAUACUGGCCAGAGACCGAUAGCGCACAAGUAGAGUGAUCGAAAGAUGAAAAGCACUUUGGAAAGAGAGUCAAAAAGCACGUGAAAUUGUUGAAAGGGAAGCGCUUGCAGCCAGACUUGCCUGUAGUUGCUCACCUGUGUUUUUACGCGGGGUACUCUUCUAUAGGCAGGCCAGCAUCAGUUUGGGCGGCUGGAUAAAGAUCUCUGGAACGUUCCUUCCUUCGGGUUGGCCUUAUAUGGGAGAUGUCAUGCAGCCAGCUUGAACUGAGGUCCGCGCAUUCGCUAGGAUGCUGGCGUAAUGGCUGUAAGCGGCCCGUCUUGAAACACGGACCAAGGAGUCUAACAUCUAUGCGAGUGUUUGGGUGUCAAGCCCGGACGCGUAAUGAAAGUGAACGGAGGUGGGAACCUUGUAAAAGAGGUGCACCAUCGACCGAUCCUGAUGUCUUCGGAUGGAUUUGAGUAAGAGCAUAGCUGUUGGGACCCGAAAGAUGGUGAACUAUGCUUGAAUAGGGUGAAGCCAGAGGAAACUCUGGUGGAAGCUCGCAGCGGUUCUGACGUGCAAAUCGAUCGUCAAAUUUGGGCAUAGGGGCGAAAGACUAAUCGAACU
rnacentral:rRNA from 1 species